rnacentral:lncRNA from 1 species
GGGGGGGAAAGCCAGAGGAAAAUUAGAAAUACAUUACUAUUUUUCUCCAGUUAAUUGGAUUGUGGGGGUGCGGUUCCUCUUUUUUUUUUUUUUUUUUUUUUGCAUUUUCCAAAUCAUCCAUAUUUAUCUGUACUAUUAUAAUUUUAGUUGUUUCAGUGUGGGUGUUUUCAGAUUACAUAUUACAGAAAGUUUUUGUUUUAGUAUGAAAUUGUUUGUUGCCACUAACCACAGACAUUUGACUUAAAUUACAGUGGCUUAAUUAAAGCUAAAUGGAAAGUUGUCUGUAGGAAUGUCAAAUGCAAAGUUGUCUGUAGG